CGGCGGACCUCUCCGCCGGCGAGGGCGGCGCGCUGCCGGAGGCCGACGCCAAGAGGCUGCGGCCCGAGGACCUGCUCGACAUGCUCGACGAUGACACCGACGCGGCAACCGCCGGCGACCUGGCGUCCGUCAUGCGAAGCCUCGAGGAGGAGAUAGCCAGCUUCGACGAGGCCGGAGCCACCGCCGCCGCUGCGCCGCCGGCGCACCACCAGCAGCAGCCGGAGCUCGGGUUCCUGCUCGAGGCCUCGGACGACGAGCUCGGGCUCCCGCCGGCGGGGGCCUCCUCUUCGUCGGAGGACGCCGGCGGCGCGGCCGGGGAGGAGCCGGACGUGGCCGCCGGGCUCGACGGCCAGAUCUGGGGGUUCGAGGACGAGAUAGACGGAGGCUUCGGCGGCUACUCGCC
rnacentral:lncRNA from 1 species